CCCUCGACUGCGGGAGAGACUGGCCACACGCGCCAGCGCCGAAGGAGCAACCGCCCCGGAAACUCUCAGGCAAACGGACCGCAGUCAGGUC
rnacentral:ncRNA from 2 species